CCUACGGGAGGCAGCAGUGGGGAAUUUUGGACAAUGGGCGCAAGCCUGAUCCAGCAAUGCCGCGUGAGUGAAGAAGGCCUUCGGGUUGUAAAGCUCUUUUGUCAGGGAAGAAACGGUGGAGGCUAAUAUCCUUUGCUAAUGACGGUACCUGAAGAAUAAGCACCGGCUAACUACGUGCCAGCAGCCGCGGUAAUACGUAGGGUGCAAGCGUUAAUCGGAAUUACUGGGCGUAAAGCGUGCGCAGGCGGUUUUGUAAGUUUGUCGUGAAAUCCCCGGGCUCAACCUGGGAAUGGCGAUGAAGACUGCAAGGCUAGAAUCUGGCAGAGGGGGGUAGAAUUCCACGUGUAGCAGUGAAAUGCGUAGAGAUGUGGAGGAACACCGAUGGCGAAGGCAGCCCCCUGGGUCAAGAUUGACGCUCAUGCACGAAAGCGUGGGGAGCAAACAGGAUUAGAUACCCUGGUAGUCCACGCCCUAAACGAUGUCUACUAGUUGUCGGGUUUUAAUUAACUUGGUAACGCAGCUAACGCGUGAAGUAGACCGCCUGGGGAUACGGUCGCAAGAUUAAAACCGUUAAAGGAAUUGACGG
rnacentral:rRNA from 1 species